UACGAAGGGGGCUAGCGUUGCUCGGAAUCACUGGGCGUAAAGCGCACGUAGGCGGAUCCUUAAGUCGGGGGUGAAAUCCUGGAGCUCAACUCCAGAACUGCCUUCGAUACUGAGGAUCUCGAGUCCGGGAGAGGUGAGUGGAACUGCGAGUGUAGAGGUGAAAUUCGUAGAUAUUCGCAAGACCACCAGUGGCGAAGGCGGCUUGCCAGAACGCACUCGACGGUGAGGGAUGAAAGCUGGGGGAGCAAACCGG
rnacentral:rRNA from 1 species